rnacentral:rRNA from 1 species
GACGAACGCUGGCGGCGUGCUUAACACAUGCAAGUCGAACGAUGACGCCCGAGCUUGCUCGGUCUGAUUAGUGGCGAACGGGUGAGUAACACGUGAGCAACCUGCCCUUCACUCUGGGAUAACCUCGGGAAAUCGGGGCUAAUACCGGAUAUGAGCUCCUGUCGCAUGGCGGGUGUUGGAAAGUUUUUCGGUGAAGGAUGGGCUCGCGGCUUAUCAGUUUGUUGGUGAGGUAGUGGCUCACCAAGGCGAUGACGGGUAGCCGGCCUGAGAGGGCGACCGGCCACACUGGGACUGAGACACGGCCCAGACUCCUACGGGAGGCAGCAGUGGGGAAUAUUGCACAAUGGGCGAAAGCCUGAUGCAGCGACGCCGCGUGAGGGAUGACGGCCUUCGGGUUGUAAACCUCUUUCAGCAGGGAAGAAGCGAAAGUGACGGUACCUGCAGAAGAAGCGCCGGCUAACUACGUG